GUCAGCAGCCGCGGUAACACCGGCGGCCCGAGUGGUGAUCGUGAUUAUUGGGUCUAAAGGGUCCGUAGCCGGUUUGGUCAGUCCUCCGGGAAAUCUGAUAGCUCAACUAUUAGGCUUUCGGGGGAUACUGCCAGACUUGGAACCGGGAGAGGUAAGAGGUACUACAGGGGUAGGAGUGAAAUCUUGUAAUCCCUGUGGGACCACCUGUGGCGAAGGCGUCUUACCAGAACGGGUUCGACGGUGAGGGACGAAAGCUGGGGGCACGAACCGGAUUAGAUACCCGGGUAGUCCCAGCCGUAAACGAUGCUCGCUAGGUGUCAGGCAUGGCGCGACCGUGUCUGGUGCCGCAGGGAAGCCGUGAAGCGAGCCACCUGGGAAGUACGGCCGCAAGGCUGAAACUUAAAGGAAUUGGGCGGGGGAGCACAACAACGGGUGGAGCCCUGCGGUUUAAUUGGACUCAACGCCGGACAACUCACCGGGGGCGACAGCAAUAUGUAGGCCAAGCUGAAGACUUUGCCUGAAUCGCUGAGAAGUGGUGCAUGG
rnacentral:rRNA from 1 species